AUUGGGGGUGGGUUUUGUUUUGAUAUGUUUUUUAAUCUGCGUGCAGGCACUGAAACGGCGGAGAGAGAUCAGCAGUGGCCUCAUGCAAAUCACCGACAGAAAUGGCUUCUUUCUCCCACAUGCAUCUCUGAUCAUUUUCAAGGGAAGGGGUAUUAUUAAAACGAGUGUAGUUCACGGAUUCACCGUCGGUUGUGCAUUAAAUGGUGGCCCGAGGGUAAGGGUUUCCCGUUACCGUUACGCUGGUCCGGUCAAAAGGAAGAGAGGAUAAAAAAUAAAUAAAAUAAAAAGAAAAAUAAAGAAAAGGAUAGAAGGGAGGGGACAAGGGGGGUAGCUGGAGCCAGCUGUGGGAGUGAGGACGUGUCUCUUUCUAAGAUAGAGGAUGACGAGUGCGGAGGGAGACGAGGACGACGACGACGACGGCUUAUCGGUGGCGGUGGGGGGGAGCAGAACUAGAAAGUUGGUGAAGGUACGAGCCGUCCUUAAUUGGAAAUUCACAACUCUUGCCCUUGACUGUCUCUUCUAUUAUGAUUGCCUCCAACCAAGGACGGCGCCACGUAAAGCUAAGGGACCAUCAUUACAUCCUAUCGUCUCCUCGCUGUAGCGCCUCGCACGACCCCUACUACAUCCUAUUGUCGUCUCGCCGCAAUGCCUCGCGUCGACCGCCGCUGCACCAUCUUGUCACCUCGCUACUACCGCCUCUAGAUGAAGUCCGAGCAAGCUUCAUGAAGCAAGUUCAGGCUUCUUUUGUCCGCGACGCCUUGAUGAUUGAUAAUGAAAUAUGAUUCAAUCAUUGGGUCUGUCUAGCCCGGUCCCGGGCCGGGCCCAUUUUGCCAUCUCUAAUUGAUUGUAUCUUAUUUUAAAUUUUUAAAUAAUUUAUUAAUUGGUUGAAUGUUUAGAGAUACCAUAUAUUGAUAGGUAAAAUCGUUUAGGUUAAUUGAAAAUGUUACUUGAGGGGCACUUGAUGUAAAUAUUAAAUAUUAAAUUUAUUAGAACUUAAAUAAAACUUAUUAAAUCCUAAUUAUGUUUGAAAAAUCCAAUGAAUUUUCAAGAAUGGUUAGCAUUGCCAUCUUAUAUAACCCACCAAGCUUUAGUGACUUUUUUUUUUUUGGGUUGAAACAAGCUUUAAGGAUUUCAUCCGCCUUUUAGGAGUGUCUUACCCAUUGAUAACUAAGGGGUACAUUAGAUUAAUUCACUCAUUGAUGAUAAGUAGUGAAAGUAAUUCCCAAUAUAUAUAUAUAUAUAUAUAAAUAAUAUGCCGACAAUACUUAAUUAAUUGUAUAUAUUAUAAUAUUUAUAUAAAAAAAAGGAAAUUUGAAUUGGAAAUUGUAUAAUAACCAUUAGCAUUGGGAGUAGUGGUAAUGGAAACAGAGUUCCGUGGUUGGAGGUAGGAGGUAGGAAGGAACCCCUCACAUAGCGUGGAAGGAUACAGAUUCAUGAGUUAUAAGUGAGAGAGGGGGAGGGGGGAGGGGGUAGUGGGAGGCCAUUAUUGGAGCACGUGAGGAGGCAAAACAAAGGAAACAGAAUGGCACGUGCACUGCCCCCAUGUGAUGUGCUCUCUCAUUCAUUCAUUCAUAGGUUUAUAGAAAACUGGGGCUUUUGGGGGGAUGGGACUAGGUGCGGGGUGGUGGGGAGGGGUUUGAUUAAAAAAAGAUACCUGAUUGGGAUUGCUUACAAACCAAUCAAGAAAAUUCAUCUGCCCUAUUGACAAAACCUUAGGAUCAACCAUAGCCAAAUUAAAUCAAAUCAAAUCAAAUCAAAAGUGCUAAAAAGUCAAAUAUGCAUGCUGAUGCAUAUGUGUCAUCCACCCCCCCCCCCCCCC